rnacentral:rRNA from 1 species
AGCGAACGCUGGCGGCAGGCCUAACACAUGCAAGUCGAACGAACCUUUCGGGGUUAGUGGAGGACGGGUGAGUAACGCGGGGGAACGCGCCAUUAGCCUGGGAAUAACUCAGGGAAAAUUGUGCUAAAACCGAAUGAGCACUUCGGGGGUGAGAUUAAUGGGCUUUGGAGCGUGCCGAGUCCGGUUAGCUAGGUGGUUGAGGUAAUGGCGUACCAAGGCGACGAUCAGUAGCGGGUAUGAGAGGAUGAUCAGCCACAUUGGGACUGAGACACGGCCCAAACUCCUACGGGAGGCAGCAGUGGGGAAUCUUGCGCCAUGGGCGAAAGCCUGACGCAGCCAUGCCGCGUUAAUGACGAAGGUCUUAUGAUUGUAAAACUCUUUCACCGGGGCCGAUAAUGACGGUACCCGGAGAAGAAGCCCCGGCUAACUUCGUG